rnacentral:tRNA from 1 species
GCAGGGCGACCUGUACGGGCGGAUCGCGGUCUCGCUGACCGCACUCGCCUUCCUCGUGGAGGCGGGCGGGGUCGUGGCCCGCGCCCUGUC